rnacentral:lncRNA from 1 species
GUCACUCUCUUUGGCAAAGUGGAAGGCCACCGGGGAAGGGAAAAGUGCCUUAGAAGAGAUGCUUUAUACAUAAACCCCUGUGUGGCUUUUAACUAAUCAUUUAAGCCUAAACAAAAUUUCCUCCGGAAUGAACUUAAAGGAAAAAUAAGCCCUUUAAAACUUCCCUGCCUUUAAAGAACAGACACAGAUGUUCCAAUUGUUUUUAUAAAUACACUGAGAAGGAGGUUGAAAGAAAUAUCACAAUAAAAAAAGCCUACCAAAAUGCAAGCCUGUGUUCCAGAGUUUGACCCGGCUAUUACAGACA